UACGUAGGGUGCGAGCGUUAAUCGGAAUUACUGGGCGUAAAGCGUGCGCAGGCGGUUGUGCAAGACCGAUGUGAAAUCCCCGGGCUUAACCUGGGAAUGGCAUUGGUGACUGCACGGCUAGAGUGUGUCAGAGGGGGGUAGAAUUCCACGUGUAGCAGUGAAAUGCGUAGAGAUGUGGAGGAAUACCGAUGGCGAAGGCAGCCCCCUGGGAUAACACUGACGCUCAUGCACGAAAGCGUG
rnacentral:rRNA from 1 species